rnacentral:rRNA from 1 species
UCUACGGGAGGCAGCAGUGAGGAAUAUUGGUCAAUGGACGAGAGUCUGAACCAGCCAAGUAGCGUGAAGGAUGACUGCCCUAUGGGUUGUAAACUUCUUUUAUAUGGGAAUAAAAUGUUCCACGUGUGGGAUUUUGUAUGUACCAUAUGAAUAAGGAUCGGCUAACUCCGUGCCAGCAGCCGCGGUAAUACGGAGGAUCCGAGCGUUCUCCGGAUUUAAUUGGUUUAAAGGGGGCGUAGGUGGAUUGUUAAGGCAGUUGGGAAAGUGUGCGGCUCAACCGUAAAAUUGCAGUUGAAAAUGGCAGUCGUGAGUACAGUAGAGGUGGGCGGAAUUCGUGGUGUAGCGGUGAAAUGCUUAGAUAUCACGAAGAACUCCGAUUGCGAAGGCAGCUCACUGGACUGCAACUGACACUGAGGCUCGAAAGUGUGGGUAUCAAACAGGAUUAGAUACCCGUGUAGUC